GAAUCUUCCGCAAUGGGGGCAACCCUGACGGAGCAACGCCGCGUGGGGGAGGAAGGUCUGUGGAUUGUAAACCCCUUUUCUCAGGGAAGAAGUUCUGACGGUACCUGAGGAAUCAGCAUCGGCUAACUCCGUGCCAGCAGCCGCGGUAAGACGGAGGAUGCAAGCGUUAUCCGGAAUUAUUGGGCGUAAAGCGUCCGUAGGCGGUUCAUCAAGUCUGCCGUUAAAGACUGCAGCUUAACUGUGGGYGAGCGGUGGAAACUGAUGAACUAGAGUACGGUAGGGGUAGAGGGAAUUCCCAGUGUAGCGGUGAAAUGCGUAGAUAUUGGGAAGAACACCAGUGGCGAAGGCGCUCUACUGGGCCGUAACUGACGCUGAGGGACGAAAGCUAGGGGAGCG
rnacentral:rRNA from 1 species